rnacentral:rRNA from 1 species
AUUGAACGCUGGCGGCAUGCUCUACACAUGCAAGUCGAACGGCAGCGCGGGCUUCGGCCUGGCGGCGCGUGGCGAACGGGUGAGUAAUACAUCGGAAUGCGCCCAGUUGCGGGGGAUAGCACGGCGACAGCCGGAUUCAUACCGCAUACGACCUGCGGGAGAACGCGGGGAUCUUCGGACCUCGCGCUACUGCAGCGGUCGAUGGCAGAUUCGCUAGUUGGAGGGGUAAAGGCCUACCAAGGCGACAGUCUGUAGCUGGUCUGGGAGGACGGCCAGCCACACUAGGACUGAGACACGGCCCAAGCUCCUAGAGGAGGCAGCAGAGGGGAAUUUUAGACGAUGGCCGAAAGCCUGAUCCAGCAAUGCCGCGUGUAUGAUAGAGGCCUUCGGGUUAUAAAGCACUUUAGGCGGGAACGAAAAGGACUGUGCCAAUACCACGGUUCGAUGACGGUACCCGCAGAAUGAGCACCUGCUAGCUACGUG